UCACCGCUCUCCCCUCUCCAUUGGUGUCCCCAGAGUCCCCAGGCUUGGGGCUGCCACUGGGAUAGUCCUGGCUGAGUCCCACCGCAUCCAGGGAGCACUCAAAGAGCCUGAGGGCCCCUUAGAGCAGCAUCGCCUCAGUCACAACCAGGUCUUCUGCCGUGUCACCAGGACCUUGGUUGUGGGGGUCAGCACCGGGGCUGGGGGGGGUGUCGCUGCCUGGGACAAUGUCAGGGCCCAGGGGUGCCCCCGUUGAGGUGGCCGUGCUGGAGGUGUUGGUGGGAGCAGACGGCCCCUCCUUGUGCCCAUAGCCGGGGAUGGAGCUGUACGGUGGUGG